rnacentral:rRNA from 1 species
UCCGUCGGAAUCUGGGAGGACCAUCUCCCAAGGCUAAAUACUCCCUAGUGAUCGAUAGUGAACCAGUACCGUGAGGGAAAGGUGAAAAGCACCCCGGAAGGGGAGUGAAAGAGAUCCUGAAACCGUGUGCCUACAAAUAGUCAGAGCCCGUUAACGGGUGAUGGCGUGCCUUUUGUAGAAUGAACCGGCGAGUUACGAUCCCGUGCGAGGUUAAGCUGAAGAGGCGGAGCCGCAGCGAAAGCGAGUCUGAAUAGGGCGUUUAGUACGUGGUCGUAGACCCGAAACCAGGUGAUCUACCCAUGUCCAGGGUGAAGUUCAGGUAACACUGAAUGGAGGCCCGAACCCACGCACGUUGAAAAGUGCGGGGAUGAGGUGUGGGUAGCGGAGAAAUUCCAAUCGAACCUGGAGAUAGCUGGUUCUCCCCGAAAUAGCUUUAGGGCUAGCCUUAAGUGUAAGAGUCUUGGAGGUAGAGCACUGAUUGGACUAGGGGUCCUCAUCGGAUUACCGAAUUCAGUCAAACUCCGAAUGCCAAUGACUUAUCCUUAGGAGUCAGACUGCGAGUGAUAAGAUCCGUAGUCAAAAGGGAAACAGCCCAGACCGCCAGCUAAGGUCCCAAAGUGUGUAUUAAGUGGAAAAGGAUGUGGAGUUGCUUAGACAACUAGGAUGUUGGCUUAGAAGCAGCCACCAUUUAAAGAGUGCGUAAUAGCUCACUAGUCGAGUGACUCUGCGCCGAAAAUGUACCGGGGCUAAAUACACCACCGAAGCUGCGGAUUGAUACCGAAUGGUAUCAGUGGUAGGGGAGCGUUCUAAGGACAGUGAAGUCAGACCGGAAGGACUGGUGGAGUGCUUAGAAGUGAGAAUGCCGGUAUGAGUAGCGAAAGACGGGUGAGAAUCCCGUCCACCGAAUGCCUAAGGUUUCCUGAGGAAGGCUCGUCCGCUCAGGGUUAGUCAGGACCUAAGCCGAGGCCGACAGGCGUAGGCGAUGGACAACAGGUUGAUAUUCCUGUACCACCUCUUUAUCGUUUG